rnacentral:lncRNA from 1 species
CACUCUUUAUAAGAAUUGUUCUAAGUCUCAAUGGAAAAGAGAGAGAUCAUGUGAUAAAGAGAGGUAUCUCUUUGUUUAUACAAGGAAGAAGCUAGGGCUUCAUAGUAUGAUGAACCUAAUUUAUUAGCCUUGUUCUUUUUACGAACGCUGGGGACCAGCGUCAGUAACUGAAAAGUACAUCUUCACCAUCGGAAAUGCAGCGCCGUUAAUACAAGACAAACAUACUUUUCAGCCGCGCGGUUAGACGCAAUAACAAAAUUAGACGCUGGAAAUAUCAGCGAUAGCAGCGUCUUCAUUUUUAGUCGCUGCGGCAAGCUCCGGUAGUUUAAUUCACUUUCAAAAUCGAUCAUCUUGUCUCCACCCAAAUGUUAUUCUUUGUCGCUACCGCCGGCCGCAGCGGCUAUGAAAAGAACAGGGCUAUUGUCUAAUGAACCUUGAAAGAGGAUGUAAAUCCACCCCCAAAAUUAUUUAUUUCUCGUCUAGCAGUUUUAACUCCAUUUUAUAUAAAAG